AUAAGAAAUUUCAUUCAAAAAGAUUAUAAAUAGAUGGGUUAAGGCAACAAUAUGCGGCUGAAAUUUUCUGCAGCACAGAUUUUUAGGUAUAGCAGAUUGGACGUAAAAGAUCAGUGGUUUAUAUUGAGAAUUUUUUGAUGAAACCAAAGGGAAAUCCACUGUUAGGAAGUGUCAAAGCUAUCAUAAAAAUUUCGUAGAGAUUUGGAUAGAAACAAUGUAGUACCAAGAUCAAACAAACAGUGCUAUGCGGCUGAAA
rnacentral:lncRNA from 1 species